CCACUGAGAGUUGGGAGCAAUAGUUACUCACCUUUUGCUUUUGUUUGCAGUCACAAAGAUUUGCUUUUACUGAGGAUUUUGAUACCAAUCCUCCGAUUCUUUUGUUUUGUUUACCCCCAUUUUUGCCUGGGCUGAUCCUUUGGGUUUGCAGCCCACCGAGAUGCCCCAAUUUUUGCCUAAUUCAAUCUUGUUUUCAAGCUUUUAACCUAAUGGGCUUUUCAUUUUCUUUUGAUUUUUUUAUUUCUCAUUUUUUUUU
rnacentral:lncRNA from 1 species